AAUAGAUACCCUGGUAGUCCACGCCGUAAACGAUGCGCACUAGGUGUCGGGGGGUAUCGACCCCCUCGGUGCCGCAGCCAACGCGAUAAGUGCGCCGCCUGGGGGACUACGGCCGCAAGGCUAAAACUCAAAGGAAUUGACGGGGGGCCCGCACAAGCAGCGGAGCGUGUGGUUUAAUUCGACGCAACGCGAAGAACCUUACCUGGGCUUGACAUGCGCGUGGUACGAGGCCGAAAGGCCGAGGACCCGCAAGGGAGCGCGCACAGAUGCUGCAUGGCUGUCGUCAGCUCGUGCCGUGAGGUGUUGGGUUAAGUCCCGCAACGAGCGCAACCCUCGCUGCCAGUUACGAUGUCUGGCGGGACCGCCGGGUCCAACCCGGAGGAAGGUGGGGAUGACGUCAAGUCAGCACGGCUCUUACGUCCAGGGCUACACACACGCUACAAUGGCCGGUACAACGCGCGGCGAAGGGGCGACCCGGAGCGAAUCGCAGCAAAGCCGGUCUCAGUUGGGAUUGCAGGCUGCAACUCG
rnacentral:rRNA from 1 species